AGCCAAAUUAUACACAAGAAUAUAAAACAAAGCAUUUACUUGGUAGAUAAUAUUUUCUUUUUAAACAGCAAAUUUUAUUCAUAAUAAGAUAACCUAACACAAGAAGUGAAGAGGCUAUAGGGGAAAGACACAAGGUAACAAUACAUAAAGACAACUAAACCAAUGCUAAAAAGCCACAUCACAAAACCACCCAAACAACCCUUAAUACAAUAUAAUUGAACCAGUUUCCAUCAACACCACAUCAAUAGACCCCUAAAUAAUUGAACAAAAACCAGCCACCUAAACUUCCUGGUACCAGUAAAUUACAAUUACUUAGUAGAUAUUGAUAUGUCUUGUUGCAUUGAUGUUUCAGAAAUGUGUGGCUGGAGGGUAAUCUUUGGGUCGUAACUUCCACAAUAUCUUCGAGCAGCGAUUGAUUUUGGGAGGUUUGAAUUUUGGCAAGGCAGCAUCAACAGCAAAAUGUUGAGGAGCAAGCAUAAAAGCAGCAAGGAAUAACACUAAUAAGGAUAAGAAAAAGGAAUUAGCCAUUUUAAGAAGUGAUAUUAUUAUUGUGUUGGUGCAUAAUACAUAGGUAGUUAACUGGCUUUAUACUAGUUAGAGACUCAAUGUGAUUUUUUGGUCAAUCUAAGUCAUUGUGUAUGAAUUCAAUCAUUCAACACGUAGGUUCCAUGCAUUUGGAAAACUAGUUGAUGAUUAAUAAUGUUCAAUAUAUUAGGCUAUGAAUUGUUUAUGAAUUGAAUUAUUGAACAAUGUUACAUGUUCCAUGUAUUUGCAACUAGUUGAUGAUUGGUAGCUACCUAUCCUUUAAUUUUCCACACAACAAGACCAUUCAGUAAUAUUGGCUCUAUAUCUCCACUUGUUUGCCCACACCGUGGUUUAGCUGAAAAAACAGUGUACUGGAGGUGGAACAUGUUUUAAUAACAUUAAUAUGUAGAUAUUAUUAUUUAUGCAUUGAACCCUGUAUUGAUAAAAAUUCCACAUAGGUUACUUUAUUUGUCAUUUAUGCUUGAAUAUAUAAAUACAAAACAGUGUUUUUUCUUAUUAAAAUAGGGGGAUUUUAGGCUAGCUUUUGUUAUUCUAAUUAUACCCUUAAAUAAAUAAAAAAUCAAAUAAUGUAAUAUUGUUGGUAUAAUUAAAAAAAUAAGAAUUUUUGUUAUAUUAUUGUUGUCAUUGAGUAAGAUAAAUAUGGUUUGUUGAGUUUGUUACAUUUGAAAGUCACAUAUAUUUAUACUUAUAAUUUUAAUCUAUAUCAAAGAGUUUAUAUAAAAUAUCGGUUGUAAUUUACACGCAAAAUUUCUAUAAAUUAUCGUAGAUAAUCUAUACACGUUAACGUAUUAAAAAGAGUAGAAAGAUGCGCAUGUGACUGCCCGUAUUUUGGUCCCUUAACUUCUCUCUCUUACACAUUUUGGUCCUUUCCAUUAGUUUAAUUCAAAAACGUUGAAUUUUCUUCAUCUUCUUCUCCUCUUUUUCAUCUUCAUAUCAUCUCCAUCAACCUUCAACAACAAGAAUCCCAAAAAAAAUUAUAGAAGAAAAUGAAGAAAACCUAACGUUUUUGAAUUAAAACUAACGGAAAUGGCCAAAAUGUGUAACAGAGAGAAGUUAUGAGACCAAAAUAAAUCGAAUUUUAAUUAAGGGAUCAAAGCGAUACUACCUAAAUAGUUAAGGGACCAAAAAUGCAAUUUAGCCUAUAAUCUAAUAUCAUCGUUAUUAAAUAUUAUUUUAUAAUCUAAUAUCAUUGUUAUUAAAUUUUAUAGCAAGUAUCAAACGAAGAACCGAGAGUUGUUGUUUGAUAUUGUUAUUUAAUCAUGUCUCGUAUAUCAAAGGAAGGAUCGAGAGGUAAAAUUUGAUAUUGGAAUAAAUGAGAUUGUAAACGAUAAGCAAAAUAUGAGAAAAAUUUUGUGACUCUUAUGACAAUAAGGUUAUAAGGUUGCACUCAAAAAGUUUUAAUGAUUAUCAACUAUGAGAAUAGGUUUAAUUACUGUUGAGAUACAUUCAUGUAAUCUGAUAGGAAACAUGAAAUAUCAAAGAACAUCUUGUCCUUAGAAACGAAUAGAGAAAUAUAUAGGGAAUGUUUAGAAUUUAACUUUAUGAUGAAAACCUCAAUCUCAUGACGCAUUUUAAUAUCUGAAUUUUAAUCUAAAAAAUCAUUGCACUUAAUCAACUUAUCUUUUUCAGCUAAUCAAGACUAAAAAUUAGAUUAGAAUUUACUUUAAGUCCAUGUGAAUCGAUAUUUUACUAGAACCGUACACUUGCAGAAACCUAUCAAAGACCCUAUUGAUGUAUAUGGAAUCGUAGUUACCUAUCAAAGCUACAAAAUUUAGAUCGGACUUGGGGGUCUUUCUAACCGUUCUUGAAGUCGUAGGGGGGUUCGUUUACCGGAUGUAGCAUCGAAGGCUUGAGUGCAGAGUUCGAAGGGGUGCACAAGUAUUCAAGGAUCCGAAGAUUCAAGAAGCACCAAAUUUAAGGGUUACUUGGAGUUUGGGGGAGUGUUUUACAUAGGAGUUGAAGAAUUAGGUUUUAAUUUCAAGGAACUCUUGUAAACACAUUGUAUUCAACAUUUGUUACAUGGUGGAUGAUCUCGGUGAAGAUGUACUUAAUCAAGAAGAGUAGAGGUAGAUCUAGAGAGGACGAGAAAGAGCAAUCUAUUAUAAAAAUAUCGGUGUGAUCUCUCUUUCCCUAUCCUCUUUACUUUUAGAUAUUGCAUGUGAUUAAUUGAAUAAUUUUUAGGAUAAUUUCUAGUGUUGAUCUAAGUUGUUUUUCAUUGAAAAUCAAUCUAAUUCAUUGAAUUAGGUUUCAUAUAAUUUGCUUAGAUCAAUUGAAUGCAAAAUCUAUUCAAUUCUUCAAUUACACAUGUAUUGUGUUUUUUAUUUGAUAACUUAGUAAUUUUGUUCAUAUAGAUUUGGUUUGAAAUUGUCUAUUGUUUUAUACAUUGUUCAAGGAAUAUUAAAGUUUGAUUGUAUAAUAACAUUUAGUAACAAGGUGAUUGCAACACUUGAAAAAUUGUUAGCUGAUAUAGUGAUAUAGUAACAAUUGAGUAAAAGUGUUAGAUCCAAUACAACAAGUACCAUCCCUAAAAAAAAAACAAAAAUACAAGUAACAAUAGAACUCAUUCGUUAUUCAUUCACGUGUUAAAAAAUUUAGCUGAAAAAACAGUGUACUGGAGGUGGAACCUGUUUUAAUAACAUUAAUAUAUAGAUAUUAUUAUAUAUGCAUUGAACCCUGUAUGAUUUAUUGAUAAAAAUUCCACAUUACGUUAUUUGUCAUUUAUGCUUGAAUAUAAAAAUACAAAACAGUGUUUUUUCUUAUUAAAUUUUUUAAUUAAUUUAUAAAGACUUUUAAUAACUUAGUGUUUACCAAUUGCACUCAUUAAUUCUUAAUUAUAGAAUAAUUGUAAACCCAUUUUAGAUCCUCCAAAAAUGAAGAAAGCUCAUUCUUAGGACAACACAAAAUGGAAGAAACUCAAGAUUGUUGGCAUAUUGGUAGACUAUUUCUGUUUGACAAAUUCAAUAAUCUAGUUUAUAGUUUAUAAGUCCGAAUGAUUAAAAAAUAUAUGUUUCAUAACUGUUUUUUCAUCACAAGUUUUAUAGUUUAUUUUAUUAGUUUGUAGGUUUUUUUUUAGACUUUAUUCCAAAUGUGGAAUAACGUUUGAGAUUAUAGUUUAUCCUUUAUAAUCUAUAUUAUAUAUAAUGAAAAUAGGGGGAUUUUAGGCUAUCUUUUUUGUUAUUCUAAUUAUAUCCUUAAAUAAAAAGAAAUCAAAUAAUGUAAUAUUGUUGGUGUAAUUAAAAAAAUAAGAAUUUUUGUUAUAUUAUUGUUGUCAUUGAGAAAGAUAAAUAAAUAUAGUUUGUUGAGUUUGUUACAUUUGAAAGUCACAUAUAUUUAUACUUAUAAUUUCAAUCUAUAUCAAAGAGUUUAUAUAAAAUAUCGGUUGUAAUUUACAAGCAGAAUUUCUAUAAAUUAUCAUAGAUAAUCUAUACACGUUCACGUAAUAAAAAAAAGCAGAAAGAUGCGCACGUAAAUGCCCGUCUUUGCACUAGUUUAUUAUAAAAAAAAUGCUAAAAUGUUCAGUUCUUUUGGUCAUACUGCACAAAUUAUUUGGUAGCUUGACAUAUAUGUUACUGAUGUAAACUUCACUCUCACUUUAAUUAUGUUACUCCACAGUCCUCUAAAAUUGUGUUUCUCUUUUUUCCCUAAAACUUCUCUUUUGGAUUAUUCAAUCCGAAUUAAGUUGUUUCUGGUUUGAAAUAUAUAAUUUGAACUGCUUCUAUAUAUGUUUUCUCUUUAUUUUGUGGCUAUUUAUUAAUUGUGUGUAUAUCUGAUUUUAACACUUUCAAAUAUUGAUCGCAUGGGCUGUGUUAGGAAUGAUAGAAUUUCCUUGACUGCAUCUUCUAGGUGAGAGCAGACGUAGAAGAAUGUACUAGAAAGGAGAGUGGUCAAGGGCAGGGGCAUGGUCCGCAAUGCUGAGACGCAGAGAGGUCGUCAGUUCCUAGACAUUAGUGGAAGUUUAGGGCGCAUCGGGGAACAUGUCAGAAAUAUUUAACUUUUUUAGUGAAUAUUUUUUUAAUUUAAAAUUUUUAAAGAGUGUCUCGAAGAUACUCGUUGGCAAGACUGAUAAGUUGUAGUUAAUGGUGUUUUUAACAUUUAAAUUCAAUAAUAUUUACGUUGUUUUAGUUUUAAUUUAGAUUCAUUUUACUGGAAAGCAUUAGUUUUUGUUUUCAUAAUCAAAAAUUUGAAGAACAGUGUACCUGGAUCAAGAGCGAGGAUAAAGAGCCAUAAAGCAACAACAUGGAUUGUUCGUGGUUCCAUCUGGGUUGUGCACUUCUUAAAAUGUCAGAAUUUCAAAAGUUGAAGUACAAGCACGACCGUGCCCCCCAACACCGUAGAAAUAAGCAUGAUUGUGCGCUUCAGAAGCACGACUUUGCACCCCUCAAAACAUGUCAAAAGUUGGAAAGGUGAUCAUGACCGUGUACCCUUGAAGCAUGACUGUGCACCCUUGAAGCACGACCGUGCGUCUUGUGCAGAGAAAAUAGUUGUUACAACCUUUUAGAAUUCUUUAGUUUAUGGCUUGUAACUCGUUUUUAAUAUAUUAUAUGAGGCUCUAGGCUAUAAAUAUACCUCACUUCUAAGGAAAAAAGAAUCUUAGAUACUUGUAAACUUACUCUAAAGUUGAAAACAUAAUUUUGCAAUGUUCUAAGUUCUUUGUUCUUUAUUUUUCAUUUCUUUACAUUUGUGUUCUUUACUCUUCUGUUCUUUACAUUUUAAGUUAUUUACUUUCAUGUCUUUUACUUUCUUGUCUUUAUAUAUUAAUCAUUCGUCUACUAUGAGAGAGAGAGAGAGAGAGAGAGAGAGAGAGAGAGAGAGAGAGAGAGAGAGAGAGAGAGAGAGAGAGAGAGAGAGAGAGAGAGAGAGAGAGAGAGAGAGAGAGAGAGAGGUGAUAUUAGUGCAGAACACAUAGCAAAAGAGAAUGAAAAAAGAAGAUCCCGAUCCUUUUCUAAAGGAGAAUCAACCAUCUAUAUAACGACAAAUUUAAACCCAUCAAGUACAAAAAAACGAUCAAGGUAAAAAAUAUAAACGGAACAUUGAACAAUUUUAUUAAAUUAUAAUAAACUUCAAAGGGUAAAAUUGGUUUUUAGAUAAACAUAUAAGGGGUUACCAAAUAGGGUUACAAGUUAUAAGCUUGUGAAGAAAACGUCUUGGUUGACUUCAAUGACUAAAGUAACUAAGACCAAAGAGUGAAUGAUUUAAUUCGGAUUUUAUCUAAGUCAUUGACCAAAAUUACAUCUUGUUACACUUUUAAGGAGAAAAAUGGUUGUUUUCUCAAUAAUGUUUUCCAAUAUUAAAUUAAUGUUGUUUUCUGCCUUAGGGAUGUUACCAAUUUGUUAUGUUGGAGUUACCUUUAGUGCUAAGAAACCUUUAGACCAAUAAAAAUAUUUUGAGUCCCUUUUAAAGUGGUAAAUACACUAAUAUAAAGUCAUUGUCAAUUGAUGUUAGGACUAUUUAUUAAUAAUGCAAUAUUUACUUGUUGUUCUUUGGUAGACACUUAAGGUGCGUUUGAUUUGUUAAAAAAUGAAGGACAGAACAACUCUAGUUGUCCAGUGUUUGAUUUGUAAAACUGUUUUAGGUACAAGACAAUUUGGAGGCAAGGGACAGGACAAAAACUCAUUUUUGUCCCUCACCAACCCACAACACAACUUUUUGUCCCACGUACAAGUUGUCUAAAAUACCAAAAUAGCAUUUUGUCCCUCAAAAAUCGUAUAAAACAAAAAAUUACUCAAUGCCAUAAAAAAUUUGUCCUGUCUUGUUCUGCCUUGUGUUGUACUGUUCUAUCUUGUACUGUUUUGUCCGGUACUUGCUGUUUUGCAAACCAAACACACCCUUAGAGGUCAUUUUUGUGGACUGUAGGUACCUAAAGCUCUAUGAACUUGGUUAUAUCAUAGAUAACGUCGUAUUGGAAAAACGGAAAUGAAAGACUCAUCUCUCACUCUACUUAGGGCUAGCCAAUUGUCAAACGCCAAUUGUCAAACUUGGUUACAAUUAAUUUUUUUUGGAAAACUUAUUUUGAAUUUUCUACAUGUCAUGAAAAAUUCAAAUUUCUGUUUUCUGAUUAGAAGAUCAAUAAACGGUUCAAUAUCAUCACAAUCUCCAAAUCAUAACUUCAUUCAUUUGCAAAUCUAGAGCACAUAUAUCACGAUUUUCUAUCAUGAUUUGCAUUGAUAUAAGUAAGUAUAACACAUAUAUUUUACUCUUAACUUAGCCAUACAUUGCGGAUUUACUUAGUAGAUAGAGUAAUGUUUUUUUUUAAACAACAAAUUUUAUUCAUAAGCUAACCCAACACAAGAAGUGAAGAGGCUAGAGGAAACACACAAGACAACAGAUACAUAAAGACAACUAAACCACCCAAACAAUCCUUAAUACAAUAGAAUAACAUCAGAAAAACCAGCCACCUAAACUUCCUAGUACCAUGAAACAAUGUCAGGUCGCGUUGAUUUUUAGGCUGGAGGGCAAUGUUUGUUUCGGAAGUUCUCGACUUUCUUCAACAAAGGGUAGUGCUUUUUGCAGAAAUCGGGUAUAUGGGGUAUAUGUACUGGUUUAUCUUUUGGGAUUAAAUUUUUGAUUUUUGGGAUUAAUGCUUCAACUGCGGGACCAAAGCUAACAGCAUCAGCAAAAUGUUGUUGAGGAGCAAGCAUAAAAGCAGCAAGGAAUAACACUAAUAAGGAUAAGAAAAAUGAAUUAGCCAUUUUAAGAAGUGAUAUAAUUAUUAGUGUUGGUGCAUAAUACAUAUGGAGUAUACUGGUUUUAUACUAGUUAGAGACUCAAUGUGAGUUUAUGGUCGAUCUAAGUCAUUUACUAAAUGUCAAAAUUGUGUAUGAAUUGAAUUAUUCAACAAUGUUACAAGUUCCAUGUAGUUGCUACUAGUUUAUGAAUUGAAUUAUUCAUUCGAUUCUCCGCGCGACUCAGGUGCAUGCCGAAACCGUUUUAAUUAUAUGAGCAAAUUAAUAAAUAAAUGGGUUGGUGCUUAUGAUGGUGCUAAGCGUUUGCAAGGAAGCGGUUGGUCGAAAGAUGAUGUUUUGGAAAAAGCCCAUGAAUUAUAUGUGAAACACCCCGUUUUCCCAACUUGAAUUUUUUUGCAUAAAUCAGAGUAAAACAACUAAACAGGAUGCUGCACUUCUUUCAAAUCUGAAUAUAGUAAAAUUACUAAUUAUCUCAAUCAUCAAAUUAAAUCUUAUUGCAGCGGAAAUUAGUUCAACGUUUAAAACAACCUUGGCACAAAGGCCUCAAUGUAAAAUCUCAUAAAAUUAUUCCAACAACAUGUUCAUAAAACUUCAUAAAAUAAUACGUAAGGAACGUAAAGCAACAACAAAAUUCUCAUCCCGUUACGUAUCAGAGCACCUAAGACACACGUGAGAGAAUCCACUCACGACCGCAACUAUUCUUGGUUACCUGCAAGUUACUCAAUUGUGAGGGCAACAUUUCCAAGCAGAAGGGGUGAGAUUUCACAUUCAAUAAUAAUAAGCAUAUAAUUCAUCAAAUUCAUUUAACAACUUAAACUUCAUCAAUUAGUAACACUAACUCUUCGCAUAAAUACUUCAUUAAUUAAUAACAUUAACUCUUCCUAUAAGACUUCAUUAAUAACUCAAUCAACUUCUAAUCAUCAUUAACUUCAUAUUCAUCACAUUAUAUACAACGUCAUACAGCACGUAAUAAUCAAAUCAUAAACAUCAUCAUAUAAAAACCUAAUCAUCACAUCAUAAACAUCAUCUUAUAACAUCAUAUAGUUCACAUCAUAAACAUCAUCAUAUAACAACAUAAACAUCACAACAUAAACAUGAAAUAAGGUUAUAAGGUUGCACUCAAAAAGUUUUAGUGAUAGUCAACUAUGAGAAUAGGUCUAAUUACUGUUGAGAUACAUUCAUGUAAUCUUAUAGGAAACAUGAAAUACCAAAGAACAUCUUGUCCUUAGAAAUGAAUAGAGAAAUAGAUAUGGAAUGUUUAGGAUUUAACUUUAUGAUGAAAACCGCAAUCUCAUGACGCAUUUUUAUAUCUAAAUUUUAAUCAAAAAAAAUAAUUGCACUUAAUCAAUUUAUUUUUUUCAGCUAAUCAAAACUAAAAAUUAGAUUAGUAUUUACUUAAAGUCCAUGUGAAUCGAUAUUUUACUAGAACCGUACACUUGCGUAAACCUAUCAAAGACCCUAUUGAUGUAUAUGGAAUCGUAGUUACCUAUCAAAGCUACAAAAAAAAUUAGAUCGGAAUUGGGGUCUUUCUGACCAUUCUUGAAGUCGAAGGGGGUUCGUUUACUGGAUGUAGCAUCGAAGGCUUGAGUGAAGAGUUCGAAGGGGUGCACGGGUAUUCAAGGAUCUGAAGAUUCAAGAAGCACCAAAUUUAAGGGUUACUUGGAGUUUGGGGGAGUGUUUUACAUAGGAGUUGAAGAAUUAGGUUUUAAUUUCAAGGAACUUUUGUAAACACAUUUGUAUUCAACUAUUAUAAAAAUAUCGGUGUUAUCUCUCUUUCCCUAUCCUCUUUACUUUUAGCUAUUGCAUGUGAUUAAUUGAAUAAUUUUUAGAAUAAUUGCUAGUGUUGAUCUAAGUUAUUUUUCAUUGAAAAUCAAUCUAAUUCAUUGAAUUAGGUUUCAUAUAAUUUGCUUAGAUCAAUUGAUUGAAAAAUCUAUUCAAUUCUUCAAUUACACAUGUAUUGUGUUUUUGAUUUGAUAACUUAGUAAUUUUGUUCAUGUAGGUUUGGUUUGAAAUUGUCUAUUGUUUUGUACAUUGUUCAAGGAAUAUUAAAGUUUGAUUGUAUAAUAAGAUUUGUAUCGUGAAUCUCUCAAUUCUAAGAUUAAGUCUCAUUGCACAUAUAUUUGACCUUUUGAUUCCUUGAUUGUCAUUGUUCGACCACGAAUCCAAUAGUCAAUUUUGUUGAGAGAGAGAGAGAGAGAGAGAGAUUGGAUGGACGGGUGAUAUUAGUGCAGAACACAGCAAAAGAGAAUCGAAAAAAGAGGAUCUUGAUCCUUUUCUAAAGGAGAAUCAACCAUCUAUAUAAUGACAAUUUUAAACCCAUCAAGUACAAAAAUAACGAGCAAGGUGAAAAUAUAAACGUAACAUUGAACUAUUUUAUUAAAUGAUAAUAAACUUCAAAGGGUAAAAUUGGUUUUUAGAUAAACAUAUAAGGGGUUACUAAAAAGGGUUACAAGUUUUUUUUUUUUUUUGAAAGAAGGGAUACAAAUUAUAAGCUUGCGAAGAAAAGACGGUUAUCAAACACAGCCUAUGCAGCUCAUGAAGCUGCCAUAAAAAUUUUAAUAGUGGGGGAUGUUUAAUGAAGAUUAGUAGUAGUGUUACGUUAUUCAUGGAGCUAUAGUUAUAAAUAAUUUUAAAGUGGGUAAUGUUUAUUGAAGAUAGGGAGAUCGAAGCGGAAAUGCUGAAAAAUGAUGAUGGAAAAAUAUAAAUCGAUAUUAUCUUUUAUUUUAGUCAGAAUUUAAAUUUGGUAUUUUUCAGUAUCCAUGUCGGCGAUUUUGACUAAUUUUGAUUAAGUAAACGUCUUAGUUGACUUCAAUGACUAAAGUAACUAAGAACAAAGAGUGAAUGAUUUAAUUCGGGUUUUAUCUAAGUCAUUGACCAAAAUUACAUCUUGUUACACUUUUAAGGAGAAAAAUGGUUGUUUUCCCAAUAAUGUUUUCCAAUAUUAAAUUAAUGUUGUUUUCUGCCUUAGGGAUGUUACCAAUUUGUUAUGUUGGAGUUACCUUUAGUGCUAAGAAACCUUUAGACCAAUAAAAAUAUUUUGAGUCCCUUUUAAAGUGGUAAAUACACUAAUAUAAAGUCAUUGUCAAUUGAUGUUAGGACUAUUUAUUAAGAAUGCAAUAUUUACUUGUUGUUCUUUGGUAGACACUUAGAGUUCAUUUUUGUGGACUGUAUGAACUUGGUUAUAUCAUAGUUAACGUCGUAUUAGACAAACGGAAAUGAAAGACUCAUCUCUCACUCUACUUAGGACUAGCCAAUUGUCAAACUUGGUUACAAUUUAUUUUGUUUGGAAAACUUAAUUUGAAUUUUCUACAUGUCAUGAAAAAUUCAAAUUUCUGUUUUCUGAUUAGAAGAUCAAUAAACGGUUCAAUAUCAUCACAAUCUCCAAAUCAUAACUUCAUUCAUUUGCAAAUCUAGAGCACAUAUAUCACGAUUUUCUAUCAUGAUUUGCAUUGAUAUAAGUAAGUAUAACACAUAUAUUUUACUCUUAACUUAGCCAUACAUUGCGGAUUUACUUAGUAGAUAGAGUAAUGUUUUUUUUUAAACAACAAAUUUUAUUCAUAAGCUAACCCAACACAAGAAGUGAAGAGGCUAGAGGAAACACACAAGACAACAGAUACAUAAAGACAACUAAACCACCCAAACAAUCCUUAAUACAAUAGAAUAACAUCAGAAAAACCAGCCACCUAAACUUCCUAGUACCAUGAAACAAUGUCAGGUCGCGUUGAUUUUUAGGCUGGAGGGCAAUGUUUGUUUCGGAAGUUCUCGACUUUCUUCAACAAAGGGUAGUGCUUUUUGCAGAAAUCGGGUAUAUGGGGUAUAUGUACUGGUUUAUCUUUUGGGAUUAAAUUUUUGAUUUUUGGGAUUAAUGCUUCAACUGCGGGACCAAAGCUAACAGCAUCAGCAAAAUGUUGUUGAGGAGCAAGCAUAAAAGCAGCAAGGAAUAACACUAAUAAGGAUAAGAAAAAUGAAUUAGCCAUUUUAAGAAGUGAUAUAAUUAUUAGUGUUGGUGCAUAAUACAUAUGGAGUAUACUGGUUUUAUACUAGUUAGAGACUCAAUGUGAGUUUAUGGUCAAUCUAAGUCAUGUACUAAAUGUCAAAAUUGUGUAUGAAUUGAAUUAUUCAACAAUGUUACAUGUUCCUUCCAUGUAUUUGCUACUAGUUGAUGAUCAGUCCCUACCUAUCCUUUAAUUUUCCACACAACAAGACCAUUCAGUAAUAUUGGCUCUAUCUCUCCACUUGUUUGCCCACCAUGGUUUAGCUGAAAAAACAGUGCAACUUGUUUCAAUAACAUUAAUAUAUAUAGAUAUUACUAUUUAUAUAUGCAUUGAACCCUGUAUGAUUUAUUUAUUUAUAAAAAUUCCAAAUAGGUUACUUUAUUUGUCAUUUAUGCUUGAAUAUGAAAAUACAAAACAGUGUUUUUUCUCAUUAAAAUUUUUACUAUAAAGAUUUUUAAUAACUUAGUGUUUACCAAUUGCACUUACUAAUUCUUAAUUAUAGAAUGAUGAUUAAAAAUUGUAUGUUUCAUAACUGUUUUUCAUCACAAGUUUAUAGUUCACUUCUCAGACGUUAUUCCAAAUAACGUUUGAGAUUAUAGGUUAUCAUUUUAAUUUCAUGUUUACCUUUAUUAUUUUGUUUAAGAUUUAUUUUUAUCCUUUUUAAUAUAUACUAUUUAUAAAGAAAAUAUAGGGAUUUUGGGCUGACUUUUUUGUUAUUCCAAUUAUACCUUUAAAUAAAAAAAAAUCAAAUAAUGUGAUAUGGUUGGUGUUAAUAAAAAGAUAAGAAUUUUUGUUAUAUUAUUGUUGUCAUUGAGAAUCAUAAAUAUUGUUUGUUGAGUUUGUUACAUUUGAAAGUCACAUAUCAUACUUUUAAUUUUUGUCUAUAUCAAAAAAUUUAUAUAAAAUAUCGUUUGUAAUUUACACGCAGAAUUUCAAUAAAUUAUCGUAAAUAAUUUAUACACAUUAACGUAAUAAAAAGAGCAGAAAGAUGAACAUGUGAAUGCUCGUCUUUUCGCUAGUUUAUUAUAAAGAAUAUGCUAAAUGUUUGGUUCUUUUGUCAUACUACACAAAUUAUUUGGUAGCUUUAUAUAUAUGUUACUAAUGUUAAUUUCACUCUCACUUUAAUUAUGUUACUCCAGAGUCCCUCUGAAAUAAUGUUUCUCUUUUUGCCCUAAAACUUCUCUCUUGCCAUCCAAAAUUUAAAACUCCCAUAUUAUAUGAUUCAUGAAGAUUUUUUGCUUCAAAACAUUGAUCAGGUCUUUUCAAACACGGACAACAAGGUAGGGUAUCAUUCCUUCCCUUUAGUGUUAUUUGAAUCUUUUUUUUUUUUCUUCUGUAAACUAAAACCUUAUAGAUUAUAUAAUAAUCUGAAUCAAGUUGUUCCUGGUUUGGAUUAUAUAAUUUGACAUGCUUCUAUAUAUAUGUUGUUUUGUUAUUUUGUGGAUAUUUUUUUAUUUUUUUUAGACAAAAGAGGAAUUAAAUUAAAAUAGAAAAGGAGGUAUAAGAUUGGGGGCAAUGACCUGACCAGUAAACCACAAAAUCAAAAUACAACAAUUUCAGUACAAAGUGGUAUACAACGAACACAACCCUAAACAAUCACUACUACGGACAAUUCAGCGAACCCACGUAUGAGCGCCAAACCGAAUUGCAAAAAAAACGUAGAGUGAGUAUUCAGAACUUCUAAAUAGGCGUAUGGAUCGACUGCCAACACAAAAACGAUCCAAGAUCAAGCAGCUCCCAUCAAAUAUCAGCAAGCAAUAAACGCCCUUUCGGGCCAACCAUUCCAGUCGUAGUUCAGUUCGAGGGAUGAACAAACGACAUAAAUGUAAAGCAGUCCACUGACAACGCAUAAAGCAACCGUAGCAGAUAAAGUCCUGCAGGUACGACAUCAACAACUAUCGUCAACCAGAGCGUCUACGCACUUAGCCCUUUCGUGCAUAUCAGGCGAAACAAGUCUUGUUGAAUCCAGAUCGAGGGAUGGUAUCCAACCAAACAUCGCACAAAUGAACAGAACCAUAACCAAAUCUUAAAUCCAGACAAACCAAAUUCAAAAUUUCAACUAAACCGGAUAGCCAGAAUAAGACCACCACCAAUCUUCAUCUUCCCGAAACAACAUAAAACACCAUUCGAUUCUUCAUGGUCUUCUUCUUUCAAACUAGUGCGUCUUCCUGGAACCGCCAUUGAUGUGAAAUUCGACUAUCUUUGCCGCCGCUUCAACUUCAAACUACUAUGCCAUUGACGCUUUUAAUUUAGUGGGAGAAAAAAGAAAAAGAUCGAAAUGAAAGUAGAAGAAGAAGGUUUGGUGUGUGUUUUUGAAGAAGAAGACGAAGAAAAAAAAAAGUUUGUGUUGUUACGUGUGAGAGGGUGUGGUGGUAAGCUUGUAUAUGAGAGAGAAAUAUAUGUCUAGAGUUUUGAUGUCUAAAGAAGACCACAAUUAAUGUGACAUUGGAAAAUGAAAGGGUGGAUGCAUGGGUACCAAAAUCUCAUAAUUAUUUGUUGGAAGAUGCAUAAGGAAGAGAGAGUUAUCCCCAAUAAAUGAGAGUGGGGAAUAGUUGAAAGAAGUGGCUUUUACAAAGUAGAAUGCUGAUUAGAAUUAACAAUUAAGUGUAGAUGAUCAACGGUUGAUGUUGAAUGGCGCCUAAAUGAUGAUCAGCAUCCAAUGGCUUGCAAAAUUGGAGAGAAAAAUGAGGGGGGAAAAUUAGGGUUAAGGAUAGCUUCGGGGGAUAAGCUUUAGUAAGUAAGAUUGUCUUAUAUACUUACAUUAUUUUAGGUCUAAAUUUCAGAAACCAUUAUUUGACAAUUUUUUUGACAAUUUUAUCUCACAUACUCACAUUAUAUUUUUACUUCUCUUUUUGUUGUUUUGGUUUUUAUUUUCAUACCUAAUUUUCCUUGUAAAUCUAUAGUUGUCUCAUAAAUUAUCGUUAAAAUUGUUGUUCAAAUAACACAACUCUUAUUUCUAAUACUCAAAAUUUGUUCAAAUUAAGUUUUUAAAGAACUUCUAAUAAAGUCAGAUUAAAGUUUUUUUGAACUUUUUAAAUACUUAAAUUGAAUUUUCUCCAAUAUACAUAUUAGAGAAAGAAAAAAAAUAAUGAUAGGAGGGAGAUGCAAAACUUAUGUUUUCUUUCUCUAGAAACAUAUUUUGAGUUUUCAAUAUCAUCAAAAUCUCAAAAUCAUAAACUUUAUUUAUUUGCAAAUCUAGAGCACAUAUAGCGCGAUUUUCUCUCAUAAUUUACAUUGAUAUAACACAUAUUAUGUUCUUACCUUGCCCAAACAUUCGGGAUUUAAUUGAUGAUGUAAAAGACGUUUUUAAAUGUAGAAUAAGAAAGAUGGAAAACCUCCAAGCCAAAUUAUACACAAGAUAUACAAAUUAUACACAAAAAUUUCAAAUUUCAAUUUUCUCGAGAGUAUUCUUAAAUGAUCAAUCAAUGAUUCAAUAUAAUCACAAUCUCAAAAUCAUAAACUUUAUUUAUUUUCAAAUCUAGAGCACAUAUAGCGGGAGGAGAUUGUCUCGUGUGAUUUUUCUCUCAUGUGUAAUCCAGACCCUCCAUUAAAUAUGUGAGAUAAUGUGUUUGUAAUAUAAAAUGACCGAACGCAAGAUAAAUUGUUUUUUUCUAAACAAUAAAUUUUAUUCAUAAGCAUUCCCGUGAGCUUAGCUCAGUUGGUACGGAUAUUGCAUUUUAUAUGCAGGGGCUGAGGUUCGAACCCCAGACACCCCACUUCUCCACAAUUAAAUUGUGUGAGCUCUAACCACUAGACUACUUGACCAAGAAAAAAAGAAAUAUUCAUAAACUAACCCAACACAACACAAGAAGUGAAGAGGCUAUAGAGGAAAGACACAGGGUAACAAUACAUAAAGACAACUAAACCAAGGCUAAAAAGCCACAACACAUGUAAAUGGCUUAUCACAGCAGAAAACAAGGUAUAUCAAUAUCAUGUGUGACUACAAAACCGCCCAAACAACCCUUAAUACAAUAGAAUCACAGCAGAAAACACCCUUAGUAGAUAUUGAUAUGCCUUGCCGCGUUGAUGUUUUAGAAAUGUGCAGGUGGAGGGCAAUUACUGGGUCGGUUAUGCCCGUUUUUCCUCGAGCAGGGAUUUAAUGAGGGCUUUUGGGAUGGUUUAGGACGAGGGAAAGGUACUGGUUUGGAUGGAGUGAAAUGGGGUAAAUGCUUUAUGAUUCCUGGAGGGAGAUGUAUGGCAUCAACAGCAAAAUGUUGAGGAACAAACAUAAGAGCAGCAAGGAAUAACACUAAUAAGGAUAAGAAAAAGGAUUUAGCCAUUUUAAGAAGUGAUAUAAUUAUUAGUGUUGGUGCAUAAUACAUAGGGAGUUAAACUGGUUUUAUACUAGUUAGAGACUCAAUGUGAGUCUAUCGUCAAUCAAAGUUAAAAUUGUGCACGAAUUGAAUUAUUCAACAAUGUUACAAGUUCCAUGUAUUUGAUACUAGCUGAUGAUCAUUUAGUAUUAUUGGCUCUAUCUCUCCACUUGUUUGCGCACAUGGUUUACCUGAAAAAACAGUGUACUGGAGGUGCAACUUGUUUUAAUAGCAUUUUUUGUUGAGCACAUCAUGAGACAACACCGACAUCCUAACUAGAUUAGUAUUUCAGGACGCCUCCGUCCUAUGCCUGCCAAUCUCUAAAUUUUAUUAAAAAAGGGUAAAAAUAUAUACAAGGAGAGUGAGGACUAGGCCAAAAUCCUCAAUGAAAAAACCAAAGGAAACAAUAAAAAAUAAAGCCUACUGAAAUCUAUAAUUGGGUGAGCCAAUUCUGUCUCUAUAGAAGUCGAAAUGCAACUCUGCACGAAGCGUGUCUAACCAAACAGAACCCUGAAUAUCAUGACCCUCGGACAUUCCAAUAUAACAUCAUUGGGAAGAUGGAGGAAGACCACUCUUUCCAAGGAUUUGAUAAUGCGGCUUUCCGAAGACUUACUUCUUCAUAUUUAACGCGGCUUUUUUGAGAGAACUUGCGUAAAUCCUUUCUUUACGGCCCGUUGAUCGUAUUCUUUGAUUCUGGCCCAUAAAUCCAAGUCAUUCUGUACGUUUUUGCUAGUGUUUUAAUAACAUUAAUAUAUAGAUAUUACUAUUUAUAUAUGCAUUGAACCUGUAUGAUUUAUUUAUAAAAAUUCCAAAUAAAUUACUUUAUUUGUCAUUUAUGCUUGAACAUAAAAAUACAAAACAUUGUUUUUUCUCAUUAAAAAAUUUAAUUAAUUUAUAAAGCUUUUUAAUAAAUUAGUGUUUACCAAAUUGCACUCAUUAAUUCUUAAUUAUUGAAUGAUUGUAAACUCAUUUUAGAACCUCCAAAAAUGAAGAAAGCUCAUUCUUAGGACAACACAAAAUGGAAAACACUCAAGAUUGUUGGCAUAUUGGUAGACUAUUUCUAUCUGACAAAUUCAAUAAGCUAGUUUAUAGUUUAUAAGUCCGAAUGAUUAAAAAAUGUAUGUUUCAUAACCGUUUUUUCAUCACAAGUUUUAUAGUUUAUUUUAUUAGUUUGUAGCUUAUUUUUUAGACGUUAUUUUAAAUAACGUUUGAGAUUAUAGUUUAUCAUUUUUAUUUGUGUUUACCUUUAUUAUUCUGUUUAAGAUUUAUUUUUAUCCUUCAUAAUCUAUACUACUACCGUUUAUUCUGUUUGACAUUAUAGUUUAUUUUUAUUUGUAGUAUAUAUAAAGAAAAUAGGGGGAUGUUAGGCUAGCUUUUUUGUUACUCUAAUUAUACCCUAAAAUAAAUAAAAAGUCAAAUAAUAUUAUAUUGUUGGUGUUAUUAAAAAGAUAAGAAUUUUUGUUAUAUUAUUGUUGUCAUUGAGAAAGAUAAAUAUGGUUUAUUGAGUUUGUUACAUUUGAAAGUCACAUAUAUUUAUACUUGUAAUUUUAAUCUAUAUCAAAGAGUUUUUAUAAAAUAUAGGUUGUAAUUUACACGCAGAAUUUCUAUAAAUUAUCGUAGAUAAUCUAUACACGUUAACGUAGUAAAAAGAGAAGAAAGAUGCGCACGUGAGUGCCCGUCUUUUCACUAGUUUAUUAUAAAGAAAAUGUUAAAAUGUUCAAUUAUUUUGGUCAUACUGCACGAAUUAUUUGGUAGCCUGGCAUAUAUGUUACUAAUGUUAAUUUCACUCUCACUUUAAUUAUGUUACUCCACAGUCCUCUAAAAUCGUGUUUCUCUUUUUGCCCUAAAACUUCUCUUUUAUGUUACUCCACAAUCCUCUAAAAUCGUGUUUCUCUUUUUGCCCUAAAACUUCUCUUUUUGAUUAUUCAAUCCGAAUCAAGUUGAUCUGGUUUGGAUUAUAUAAUUUGAACUGCUUUUAUAUAUGUUGUUUCUUUAUUUUGUGGAUAUUUGUUAAUUGUUUGUACAUCUGAUUUUAACACUUUCAAAUAUUGACCGCAUGGGCUGUGUUAGGAACGAUAGAAUUUCCUUGACUGCAUCUUCUAGGUGAGAGCGUAUGUAGAAGAAUGUAGUGGAAAGGAGAGUGGUCAAGGGCAUGGGCAUGGGCCGCAAUGCUGAGACGCAGAGAGGUCGUCAGUUCCUAGACAUUAGUGGACAGUUACGGCGCAUCGAGGAACAUGUCAGAAGUAUUUAACUUUUUUAGUGAAGAUUUUUUUAAUUUAGAAUUUUUAAAGAGUGUCUCGAAAACACUCAUUAGCAAGACUGAUAAGUUGUAGUUUAUGGUGUUUUUAUCAUUUAAAUUCAAUAAUAUGUACGUUGUUUUAGUUUUAAUUUAGAUUCAUUUUACUGGAAAACAUUAGUUUUUAUUUUCAUAAUCAAAAUUAUGAAGAACAUUAUACCUAGAUUAAGAGCGAGGAAAAAGAGCCAUGAAAGAGCCAUAAAGCAGCAGCACGGAUGGUCCGUGGUUCCAUCUAGGUCGUGGAGUUCUUAAAAUGUCAAAAUUUCAAAAGUUGAAGUACAAGCACAACCGUGUGCCCCAACACGGUAGAAACAAGCAUGAUUGUGCACUUCAGAAGCACGACUUUUGCACCCCUCAAAACACAACAAAAUGUCAAAAGUUGGAAAGGUGAGCAUGACCGUGCACCCUUGAAGCACGACCGUGAGUCUUGUGCAGAGAAAAAUAGUUGUUACAACCUCUUAAAGUUCUUUGGUUCAUGGCUUGUAACUUGUUUUUAAUAUAUUUGUCUGAGGCUCUAGGCUAUAAAUAUACCUCACUUCUAAGGAAAAAAGAAUCUUAGAUACUUGUAAACUUACUCUAAAGUUGAAAGCAUAAUUUUGCAAUGUUUUAAGUUCUUUGUUCUUUAUUUUUCAUUUCUUUACAUUUGUAUUCUUUACUUUUCUGUUCUUUACAUUUUCAGUAUUUUAUCUUCAUGUCUUUAUAUUUUAAUCACAUGUCUAUUAUGAUCAUAUGUUAGUAAACAAACUAUUCUAGUCUUGGAAUUGUUAGAAUAAUCAAUCUAAUGAUUGAAUGUUAAUCAACCCAAGUCUAGACUCUAUUUUAUAAGAAUCCAUUUUAUAAUCUAAUAUCAUCGUUACUAAAUUUUAUUUUAUAAUCUAAUAUCAUUGUUAUGAAAUUUUAUAACAAGUAUCAAACAAAGAACUGAGAGUUGAUGUUUGAUAUUGUUAUUUAAUCAUGUCUAAGAUAUCAAACGAAGGACCGAGAGGUGAAAUUUGAUAUUGGAAUAAAUGAGAUUGUAAGAGAUAAGCAAAAUAUGAAAAUAAUUUUAUGACUCUUAGGACAAUAAGGUUAUAAGGUUGCACUCGAAAAGUUUCAAUGAUAAUCAACUAUGAGAAUAGGUUUAAUUACUGUUGAGAUACAUACAUUCAUGUAAUCUGAUAGGAAACUGAUAGAAUAUGUGUUACUUAGUCAUGUAAUUUGUAUUAUUAAAAGAAUAUUAAUACGUAUUCAUUGUGUUAAUUAGUCAUUCAUUUUGUAUUCAUUAGUCAUUAAGAGAAUGAUAACAAUUUGAUGUAUAUAAUGCACUCAGAUUAUCAAUGAAAAUCAUUCAGCUAUUUUCCUAUAUGGUAUCAGCUAGGUUUUAGAUCCUCUCCUACUUCUUCUAGCCGCCCACCACCACCUUUUCUUCCCUAUACUUCCGUUAUAAACCGCCAUCCAUGGCUACCUCAACAACAGCUGAAUCAACCACUCUCUCAACAAAUUCCUCUCCCGUGACAGACACAUUUGUCUCAACGGCACCAUCAUCAAAAAUUCACUCGGCCUUCACUAUCAACAACGUGAAGUCUAUCAUUCCCGUAACCUUGCACAAUGGCAGAAUGCUUUUCAUUGAUAAUCUGAGUGCAUUAUAUACAUCAAUUUGUUAUCAUUCUCUUAAUGACUAAUGAAUACAAAAUGAAUGACUAAUUAAUAUAAAUGAAUACCUAUUAAUAUUCUUUUAAUAAUACAAAUUACAUGACUAAGUAACACAUAUUCUAUCACUCCCACGCAGUUGAUGCGGGAGGUUGUCGGACGCUGAGUCUGUCCCUAAAAUCUUGAAAUAAAACCAAUGGGAGACCCUUAGUGAAGAUAUCUACAAUUUGAUAGCGUGAUGGAACAUGUAGGACACGGAUGUCUCCACGAGCUACUUUUUCACAAACAAAAUGAAUGUCCAUUUCGAUAUGUUUUGUGCGUUGGUGCUGGACGGGAUUUCGGAUAGAUAUAUGGCACUAACAUCCUUAUUAUCUAAUCCUAAACUACAAUGCACACAACAAUUGCAAAACCCUAAUCCUUGGUUUUGAGCGGGAAAAUUGUGAUUUAACCACAUUUAAUGGCAUUUUUGAAUUUCAAAUCAUGUACCCUUUUGAAAUGUGUGCAUAUGUGCCUAAUUAAUGCAGAUUUUGAAAUUCAAAUAUCCCACCACUUGGAAUUGUGCUCGCUUCUUUCCAAGACAUGCAGUUACCCACUUCUCAAUGCAAAAGCAUCUGAACCAAACAAACCUAUUUCCUUGCAUUUUGCUCUUUCUCCCUCUCUCUCACUCCCCUCUCACGCCCAUUUUUCUCUAAUCAGAAAAGGUCAACGAUUUUCAGUCCCUCUUCUCUUCUCUCUCACUCCAGUUUUCUCUCAAAAAAAAGCCUCUUCUCUUCUCCCACGUUAUUUUUUUCUUCAUUUUCUAACAUUCUUCUUCAAUUCUCCAUCUCUCUCUCUCAUUGUUUCUCGCGUAGCUCUUCGUGUCUUAGUUUGGGUGUUCUCUUCAUCGCCGGUCAGCCUCACCAAGGCAAUAAGCAUCUUCAAGUUUUAUUGAAAGAGAAUGCUUCUAUGCAACAAAAUUUUCAAGACCUUCGAUCCCUCGGUAUGCGUUUUCAGUUUCGUUACGUUUUGAUUGAUUUUGAUUUCGCGAUUAGGAUUUUGGUAUCACCGGUGUUGUUUUGAUUGAUUUUUCCGAUUUGAUAGGAAAGGAGCUUGAAGAAGGUGGAGUUCUCAGUGAAUCGGCACUGUCGCGGAAGGUUUUUCUUUUCAUCAACGAUCUUCUCUCUCAUUCUCUCUCAUUCGCUGCUCUUCUACUAAGCUUUGAUUGUGGAACGUAUGAAGGCAGAGUGACAUCUGAUAACGAUCAGAAUCAAGGCUACUAAGCUUAGAUUAUGGCUUCUAGGGGCAGAGGAAAAUGAGGAAGAAAAAGCACCAUCAAUUACAAUCUGCUCUACAUGUAUAAUGUUUUCCGUAUUCGAAUUAUUUCAAAUUGCAAGUAAUUUAAAUUGAGUUUUAAGGUAGUUUUCUUUGACUGCAAGUAUAAGGGGCUUAUUUCACAAGGUUAUACUUAGAUGUGUAUAUUCACUAUUGAAGCUUAUUUUGAGUUUCCGUGAUGACUUACUUUAUCGAAAUCACGGUGUGCCGCCGCGAUUUAGAAAAAGUUAUAGGGUGCAGCUUUUACAAUAACUAAAAAUUAACUAAUGAUUUGCCUGAAGUUUCUAAUUCUUUUUAUUGGUCCGAUUACAGUCCCUCUCUGAUGAUUUUCUACAACUAUCAGAUUUGAUUGAAUCAACUAAGGUUAAUUAUUUUGUCCAUAAUUUUUGCAAGAUAACUCUUCAGUCUACUGUUUUAGGUCAAAAUUAAUUUAUUUUGUGUAUAGAACAAUAGUUAUGCAGACCACCCAUUUCAAUAGGAUAAUGUCAAAAUUAAUUUAUGCAGACCAUCCAUUUCAAUAAUCAAUAAUGUUUUUUUGGGUUUGUUUGUAUAAUAGCAGGUUUUUUAAGAUUUGUUUUGUGUAUAAUGUGUCAUUUCACUCCACGUAGCCAAUCUUAGUGUUUGUUCAUGAAUAGAAAGUGGCUCAUAAAACAAUUUAAGGGUUCGAUUGUUCUAUAUUAUCUUUGCUCAUCUCUCUUAGUGUUUGAAAUUAGUUCAAAGAGUGGUCUAAAAAUUCUGCUAACAUAUGAGGAUGACGCUUGCAUUGAUAGUUUUUUUUUUUAAAAAAAAAAAAAAAAUCGCAUUGUAUACACAUAAAUUCCUUGAAAUAUAAUUGUAUACACAACGUACACUACAUACGAGGUCAACUUUACGUCGCAAUAUCCAAGGUGACCUCCAGGAAUGGGUUGAAGAUUUUAAUGAAUGAUGAUAAUAGUAAUAGCAUGAAUAGCACUUCAAAUGUAGUUAUAAGGAGAUUUUCUGCAAUCUACCGAUUUAAGGUCUUUUUUAAUGUAUUUUUUUUAGAAACAAUUUAUUUUGUACCGCAAGCAUAUUUAAUUUCAAUACAUUUUGUAAUAGCAUAUUUUAUUUUGUACAGCACGGGUGGAUGGUCUAGUUAUCACAAUAAACUAAACUAGCCUUGUGAAUGGGGAAAUGUAAUUCCAAAAGCAAGUUUCAUAACCAACAAGAUUCAGAAACCGCAUUGGAACCCCUCGAUAUUCUGCUUCAGCACUUGAACGAGAUAAAGUAGGUUGUCGUUUGGAAGACCAUGAGAGUAAGUUGUCACCAAGAGAUACACAGCAACCAGAGGUGGAUCGUCAGGUAUCUAGGCAACUUCCCCAAUCUGCAUUGUGUAAACAAUCAAUGAUGAUGUAGAAGAAGAGUAAAGUUGCAGUCCAUACUCGCGUGUGCCCUGAAUAUAUCUCAGGAUGCGUCAAAGGGUGUGCAUGUGAUCAUCCAUUGGAUUGUGCAUAAAUAAACAUAUUUGUUGCACUGCAUAAGAAAUGCCAGGCCUUGUGAAGGUGAGGUAUUGUAGGGCGCCAGCAAGGCUGCGAUAUAGAGAAAGGUCUUCAAAUGGGGUGCUAGUUUUGGCUCUCAUCUUUGGUUUAGUAUCAACCGUUGUAGGACAUGGUUUACAAGAAGCCAUUCCAGCACGAUCAAUAAUUUCUUCUGCAUAUUUUUUCUGAGACAAAAAUAAGCCACCAGGAUGACGUGUGACAGCAAUACCCAAAAAAUAAUUCAACAAUCCCAAAUCUUUCAUAGCAAACUCGGAACUAAGGAGUGAUAUGAUAGACUUUCAAAGGUCGUCAGAGGAAGAGGAAGCAGUAAGAAUGAUAUCAUCUACAUACAGUAUGAGGUAGGCCAAAAGGUGGGUUUUUCCUAUAUGGUAUCAGAAAAACUCUGCUUCCCGGAACUCUGGCAGAGGUGGUCGAAAUGGUACUGGUAAUUAUUGAUCUAUAACAAUAACCAUAUACGAAGACUACCUCAAAAAAAAAAAAAAAAAAAACGUACGAAGGAGAAUCAACCAUCUGGAUAAUACAUAUCCUUAUUUUAUUUAUUUGAAUUUGAAUGGCAACCACCAAAGCCACAUAUAGAAAGAAUAUUUUCCUACCAAUCGUACAUGAUGCCCAUAACAAAAGAUAGGUUCCAUAAUAUGGCCCCAUAAUAUCCUUAUCCUUAUAAUUAUGGUUCAGAAAAUAAAAAACCUCGUUAAGUUUUAGGAUUAUUUUAAGUUGAUAAAUAUUAACGAGUAUCUUCAGAGCAUUUUUCAAACAUCUAAAGUGGUAAGAUUUUAUGAAAGUUGAGCAUUUAUUAUAUUGGAAAUUGAAGUCUUUACAUUUCUUUUAAAAAUAAUUUUUUCAUUAUAAAUGCUUAAAAGGUGCUCCAUGGACAUUCAUUAACAGGACUCUUUUAAAUUUUAGAAUGUUAGCAUUUCCCUAAAACACAUGUUAAAGAUAGAGAUAUAUUAUGGCCUCUCACGGUAGCACCCGCCUACGUAGCGAGUUUAUGGUCAAUCUAAGUCAUUUACUAAAUGUCAAAAUUAUGUAUGAAUUGAAUUAUUCAACAAUGUUACAAGCUCCAUGUAUUUGCUACUAGUUGAUGAUCACUAACUAUCCUUUCAUUUUCCAUACAACUAGACCAUUUUUUUUUAGUAUUAUUUGCUCUAUCUCUCCACUUGUUUCCACAAAUAUGAUUAAUUUUUUUCGAAAAUUUUGUUUUUUUAAAUAUGAUAUUAUGGAAAACAAAAUUCGAAAAUUUGAAUAUAUAUUAAUCUUUUCCACAAUUUUUUUAAAUAUUUCCCGAUUAUUUUUAUAAUUUUUCCAGAUUUUUUUCAUUAUUUUUUAUUUUACCAGAUUUUUUUAAUCAUUAUUAAUUUUUACAUUUUUUUUUUAAAUUUUUCAGUAUUUUUUUUAAUCAUUAUUCGUUUUUUAAAUUUUUUUAUUUUUAUUUUAAAAAAAUCACAAAUGCCACGUGGCGUUCAUUUACACGCGUGGCAUGAAAAAAAUUAAACAAAAAAAAAUUGACACGUCACUGCCACGUAGUAGAUUCUGCCGACACAUUGAGGUGAGGGGUCAAUCCUGAAGAAUCUUCAUUUUUCAAGGGUGGAAUCUAAAAAAAAAAAAUUACAGGGGCUAAAACCAAAAGUGCAUUAUAUUACAAAGGCCAAAAACACUAUUAACACUAUAUUAUUACUUCUUCUUUUUUAUAAAAAUCCAAAUAAAAAUCAUUUGCAUUGCAGCCAAUUGGCCAAAUGCAACAUGACAAGCGCAAAAUUGCUCCAUGUUGACUUGUGAGAACUCUUGUUCUAGAUAGAGAACCUUAUAGUUUUUGUUGUCACAGAAAAUGUUAAACAACUUUUUCCAUGCAAUUUAUGCGUCUGAAUCGCGCUUGAUGAUGGUGAUGAGAAUAUAUUCUGAGGUGGUGUCAUAUAUCCAUUAUAAUACGACAACAUCAAAAAGCGGCCAAAGAUUGGGAUUGAUUUCUUUGAGAGAGGGAGUUGUUGGCUUAUUAGUGGGUGAGGGAGGAAUGAUGUGAUGAAAGACUUGAUGAACCCUUGCAUGAAUUUUAAAGAGUUCGAACCACGUAUUAUAUUGGACCCUUUUUUAUACUAAACGUAACCUUGAUGAAAUUGGUGAUAAUUGAAAAUGGUGGUAGAGGGAUGGAUAGGUGUGGAAGGAGUUGGGGUUGAAAUUGUCCUUCGAGUGGUAGUAUUUUUGGGGAUGAUUCGGCCCUGAUGGUGAAUGAAGGAGAAGAGGAACGAUGGCGCUGUAUUAGGUUUACGAGAGAAGGAUGAGUACCAACAACUUACUGAUACCAUGUAAGAAUUAUAAUAAGAUAAUUAUUAGUCGUGUGUCAUUUGCAUUGAGAGGAUCCGUUGACACUAGGUGUCAAACUUUAGUUUGACAUCAAAUCUCAACCGUCUAUUAUGUCUAAUCUAAUGGUCUGUGAUUAUUUAUUAAAUUAACUUGUGUGAUCUUUUUCCCAUGUCUCACCUGAUCCCACGCCGGCUGUUCUGCUCCAUCUCCUUCAACUUAUCAAAGUUAAUAUGGCCAACAAUCAAAUACACACACAAAUUAAUUCUUUUUUUUUUUUAAAGAAGAAGAAGCUAAAUUAGCCCACACAAAUUGGCACCGGAGAGAAUCGAUCCUGAGACCUCGAGGAGGAGCACACUCCCAGAUCCCAAGUCAAUACCACCAGACCAACCCAAAUGAUAAAUAAGGAGUUAAUUCUAAAUAAGGAGUUAUACAUAUAAUUACAUAUUGUUGACAUUAAUUGUUCUCUGUGGGGCAAGAUACUUGAGGUGUAAGUUUCAUAAGAUGCAAGUUCUUUUAAGUCUAAAUUGUCUUAUACUUACAUUAUUUUAGGUCUAAAUUUCAGAAACCAUUAUCACAAAUUUUUUGACAAUCUUAUCUCACAUACUCGUACUAUAUUUUUACUUCUCUUUUUGUUGUUUUGGUUUUUGUUUUCAUACCUAAUUUUCCUUGUAAAUCUAUAGUUGUCUCAUAAAUUAUCGUUAAAAUUGUUGUUCAAAUAACACAACUCCUAUUUCUAAUACUCAAAAUUUGUUCAAAUUAAGUUUUUAAAGAACUUCUAAUAAAAUCAGAUUAAGUUUUUUUGAACUUUCUAAAUACUUAAAUUGAAUUUUCUCGAAUAUACAUCUUGGAGAAAGAAAAAAAAUAAUUAUAGGAGGGAGAUGCAAAACUUACGUUUUCUUUCACUAGAAACAUAUUUUGAGUUUUCAAUAUCAUCAAAAUCAUAAACUUUAUUUAUUUGCAAAUCUAGAGCACAUAUAGCACGAUUUUCUCUCAUAAUUUACAUUGAUAUAACACAUAUUAUGUUCUUACCUUGCCCAAACAUUCGGGAUUUAAUUGAUAAUGUAAAAGAUGUUUUCAAAUGUAGAAUAAGAAAGAUGGAAAACCUCCAAGCCAAAUUAUACACAAGAAUAUAAAACAAAGCAUUUACUUGGUAGAUAAUAUUUUCUUUUUAAACAGCAAAUUUUAUUCAUAAUAAGAUAACCUAACACAAGAAGUGAAGAGGCUAUAGGGGAAAGACACAAGGUAACAAUACAUAAAGACAACUAAACCAAUGCUAAAAAUCCACAUCACAAAACCACCCAAACAACCCUUAAUACAAUAUAAUCACAGCAGAAAAACCUUAACCAAAUCAAGCAAACACACCCAGACCUUCCCCUAACACAAAAUCAAACCAGUUUCCAUCAACACCACAUCAAUAGACCCCUUAAAUAAUUGAACAAAAACCAGCCACCUAAACUUCCUGGUACCAGUAAAUUACAAUUACUUAGUAGAUAUUGAUAUGUCUUGUUGCAUUGAUGUUUCAGAAAUGUGUGGCUGGAGGGCAAUCUUUGGGUCGUAACUUCCACAAUAUCUUCGAGCAGCGAUUGAUUUUGGGAGUUUUGAAUUUUGGGAAGGCAGCAUCAACAGCAAAAUGUUGAGGAGCAAGCAUAAAAGCAGCAAGGAAUAACACUAAUAAGGAUAAGAAAAAGGAAUUAGCCAUUUUAAGAAGUGAUAUUAUUAUUGUGUUGGUGCAUAAUACAUAUGGAGUUAACUGGCUUUAUACUAGUUAGAGACUCAAUGUGAGUUUAUGGUCAAUCUAAGUCAUUGUGUAUGAAUUCAAUCAUUCAACACGUAGGUUCCAUGCAUUUGGAAAACUAGUUGAUGAUUAAAAAUGUUCAAUAUAUUAGGCUAUGAAUUGUUUAUGAAUUGAAUUGUUGAUGAUUAAAACAGUGUACUGGAGGUGGAACAUGUUUUAAUAACAUUAAUAUGUAGAUAUUAUUAUUUAUGCAUUGAACCCUGUAUUGAUAAAAAUUCCACAUAGGUUACUUUAUUUGUCAUUUAUGCUUGAAUAUAAAAAUACAAAACAGUGUUUUUUCUUAUUAAAUUUUUUAAUUAAAUUAUAAAGAUUUUUAAUAACUUAGUGUUUACCAAUUGCACUCAUUAAUUCUUAAUUAUAGAAUGAUUAUCGUAAACUCAUUUUAGAUCCUCCAAAAAUGAAGAAAGCUCAUUCUUAGGACAACACAAAAGAGAAGAAACGCAAGAUUGUUGGCAUAUUGGUAGACUAUUUCUGUUUGACAAAUUCAAUAAGCUAGUUUAUAGUUUAUAAGUCCGAAUGAUUAAAAAAUGUAUGUUUCAUAACUGUUUUUUCAUCACUAGUUUUAUAGUUUAUUUUAUUAGUUUGUAGUUUAUUUUUUAGACGUUAUUCGAGAUUAUACUUUAUCAUUUUUAUUUGUGUUUACCUUUAUUAUUUUGAAUAAUUUUUAGGAUAAUUUCUAGUGUUGAUCUAAGUUGUUUUUCAUUGAAAAUCAAUCUAAUUCAUUGAAUUAGGAUUCAUAUAAUUUGCUUAGGUCAAUUGAUUGCAAAAUCAAUUCAAUUCUUCAAUUACACAUGUAUUGUGUUUUUUAUUUGAUAACUUAGUAAUUUUGUUCAGAUAGGUUUGGUUUGAAAUUGUCUAUUGUUUUGUACAUUGUUCAAAGAAUAUUAAAGUUUGAUUGUAUAAUAAGAUUUGUAUCGUGAAUCUCUCAAUUCUAAGAUUAAAUCUCAUUGCACAUAUAUUUGUCUUUUUCAUUCCUUGAUUGUCAUUGUUCGACCACGAAUCCCAUAGUCAAUUUUGUUGAGAGAGAGAGAGAGAGAGAGAGAGAGAGAGAGAUUGGAUGGACGAGUAAUAUUAGUGCAGAACACAUAGCAAAAGAGAAUCGAAAAAAGAGGAUCCCGAUCCUUUUCUAAAGGACAAUCAACCAUCUAUAUAACGACAAAUUUAAACCCAUCAUGUACAAAAAUAACGAUCAAGGUGAAAAUAUAAACGUAACAUUGAACUAUGUUAUUAAAUUAUAAUAAACUUCAAAGGGUAAAAUUGGUUUUUAGAUAAACAUAUAAGCCAAAUAAGGUUACAAGUUGUUUUUUUUUUUUUUUUGAAAGAAGGGUUACAAGUUAUAAGCUUGUGAAGAAAAGACGGUUAUCAAACACAACCUAUACAGCUCAUGAAGCUACCAUAAAAAAUUUAAUAGUGGGGAUGUUUAAUGAAGAUUGGUAGUACUGUAGUAGUGUUACGUUGAUCAUGGAGCUAUAGUUAUAAAUAAUUUUAAAGUGGGUUAUGUUUAUUGAAGAUAGGGAGAUCGAAGCGGAAAUGCUGGAAAAUGAUGAUGGAAAAAUAUAAAUCGGCGAUUUAUAUUUUAGUCCUUGUGAAAGUUAGAAUUUAAGUUUGAAGGGGUGCACGGGUAUUCAAGGAUCCGAAGAUUUUAAGAAGCACCAAAUUUAAGGUUUACUUGGAGUUUGAGGGAGUGUUUUACAUAGGAGUUGAAGAAUUAGGUUUUAAUUUCAAGGAACUCUUGUAAACAGAUUGUAUUCAACAUUUGUUAGACCAAGUACAAUGGCUUGUUGAAAGUGCCAUUCAACAUGUUGAAUCAUUGUAGUGGGGGGUGUUGAAAUUGAAAAAAAAAAAACUUAGUUGGAGGAAAGAGAUGAUGAACAAGUUUAACUAGCUGAAAGCCUGGCCCUCACAGACACGUGGCGCGACCCGAUUGCAUGAAACAGGCGAGUGCGAUGCACGCGACGACAGGGCGCAUGAGAGAUUGGAAGCGCAGAGAGAGAAAGAGAAAUGGAUAAAUGUUGUGACACUUGGCAUGUUUUGAUUGGCUGCUUGGAUUUUUAUCUUCUUAAUAAUUUGGACUCAAUUAUUUCAUUGUAAAUAAUUUUUUUUUACCAAAAUUCGUGAUUUUUUUUUCUCUAUAAAUAGAGACUUGGAUCAUUUGAUUUGGACACAGAAAAAAAAAAUCAAGUUUUUUCACUCUCUUAAUCUUAUUACUAGCUUUUCUUUAAAAGUUUAAGUCUGAAAUUGAUCCCAAUAACAAUCAAUUCAAUACCCAAAGUUCUUCAGAUUACCCAUCUAGCUACCAAAAUCCAAAUUAUUAUCAACACCCAAAUCAAUUUCUCAACCAACAUCCUUAAAACCCAAAUCAAUUCCCCAACCAACAUCCUCAAAACAUGCCUAAUUUUGGUUUUGCCUCAAAUUUCAAUCACUCAUCCUCUGUUCUAAACAACUUUUAUCCAUAUUAUAGAUCUAUGAUGGGAUAUCCAUCUCAAACACCCCAUUUAAUGGUUAUAUGCCAAUGGUGAAUGAAAAUUUUCAGAGUGUUAGUGAAUAUCCUGAAUUUUCAUCACAAAUAAAUAGUGGUGGAAUGACAAGAGCUAAUGAAGUCACUCCAAUUUCAGAGGAUACAACUCCUAAGAGCAAGAAAAACCAGCAACCAGGAACACUGAACAAAAUUUGGUGUUAAUUAGUGGGUGAAUAAAAUAUGGAACAUGCAUUGUUGUCGGGAGAAACCAGACAAGUGAAGCAUAUUGGGUUAAAAUUGUUGAGUAUUGUAAUGAGCAUCGCUCAUUCGAUUCUCCGCGCGACUCAGUUGCAUGCCGAAACCGUUUUAAUUAUAUGAGCAAAUUAAUAAAUAAAUGGGUUGGUGCUUAUGAUGGUGCUAAGCGUUUGCAAGGAAGCGGUUGGUCGAAAGAUGAUGUUUUGGAAAAAGCCCAUGAAUUAUAUGUGAAACACCCCGUUUUCCCAACUUGAAAUUUUUUGCAUAAAUCAGAGUAAAACAGCUAAACAGGAUGCUGCACUUCUUUCAAAUCUGAAUAUAGUAAAAUUACUAAUUAUCUCAAUCAUCAAAUUAAAUCUUAUUGCAGCGGAAAUUAGUUCAACGUUUAAAACAACCUUGGCACAAAGGCCUCAAUGUAAAAUCUCAUAAAAUUAUUCCAACAACAUGUUCAUAAAACUUCAUAAAAUAAUACGUAAGGAACGUAAAGCAACAACAAAAUUCUCAUCCCGUUACGUAUCAGAGCACCUAAGACACACGUGAGAGAAUCCACUCACGACCGCAACUAUUCUUGGUUACCUGCAAGUUACUCAAUUGUGAGGGCAACAUUUCCAAGCAGAAGGGGUGAGAUUUCACAUUCAAUAAUAAUAAGCAUAUAAUUCAUCAAAUUCAUUUAACAACUUAAACUUCAUCAAUUAGUAACACUAACUCUUCGCAUAAAUACUUCAUUAAUUAAUAACAUUAACUCUUCCUAUAAGACUUCAUUAAUAACUCAAUCAACUUCUAAUCAUCAUUAACUUCAUAUUCAUCACAUUAUAUACAACGUCAUACAACACGUAAUAAUCAAAUCAUAAACAUCAUCAUAUAAAAACCUAAUCAUCACAUCAUAAACAUCAUCUUAUAACAUCAUAUAGUUCACAUCAUAAACAUCAUCAUAUAACAACAUAAACAUCACAACAUAAACAUGAAAUAAGGUUAUAAGGUUGCACUCAAAAAGUUUUAGUGAUAGUCAACUAUGAGAAUAGGUCUAAUUACUGUUGAGAUACAUUCAUGUAAUCUUAUAGGAAACAUGAAAUACCAAAGAACAUCUUGUCCUUAGAAAUGAAUAGAGAAAUAGAUAUGGAAUGUUUAGGAUUUAACUUUAUGAUGAAAACCGCAAUCUCAUGACGCAUUUUUAUAUCUAAAUUUUAAUCAAAAAAAUAAUUGCACUUAAUCAAUUUAUUUUUUUCAGCUAAUCAAAACUAAAAAUUAGAUUAGUAUUUACUUAAAGUCCAUGUGAAUCGAUAUUUUACUAGAACCGUACACUUGCGUAAACCUAUCAAAGACCCUAUUGAUGUAUAUGGAAUCGUAGUUACCUAUCAAAGCUACAAAAAAAAUUAGAUCGGAAUUGGGGUCUUUCUGACCAUUCUUGAAGUCGAAGGGGGUUCGUUUACUGGAUGUAGCAUCGAAGGCUUGAGUGAAGAGUUCGAAGGGGUGCACGGGUAUUCAAGGAUCUGAAGAUUCAAGAAGCACCAAAUUUAAGGGUUACUUGGAGUUUGGGGGAGUGUUUUACAUAGGAGUUGAAGAAUUAGGUUUUAAUUUCAAGGAACUUUUGUAAACACAUUUGUAUUCAACUAUUAUAAAAAUAUCGGUGUUAUCUCUCUUUCCCUAUCCUCUUUACUUUUAGCUAUUGCAUGUGAUUAAUUGAAUAAUUUUUAGAAUAAUUGCUAGUGUUGAUCUAAGUUAUUUUUCAUUGAAAAUCAAUCUAAUUCAUUGAAUUAGGUUUCAUAUAAUUUGCUUAGAUCAAUUGAUUGAAAAAUCUAUUCAAUUCUUCAAUUACACAUGUAUUGUGUUUUUGAUUUGAUAACUUAGUAAUUUUGUUCAUGUAGGUUUUUGGUUUGAAAUUGUCUAUUGUUUUGUACAUUGUUCAAGGAAUAUUAAAGUUUGAUUGUAUAAUAAGAUUUGUAUCGUGAAUCUCUCAAUUCUAAGAUUAAGUCUCAUUGCACAUAUAUUUGACCUUUUGAUUCCUUGAUUGUCAUUGUUCGACCACGAAUCCAAUAGUCAAUUUUGUUGAGAGAGAGAGAGAGAGAGAGAGAUUGGAUGGACGGGUGAUAUUAGUGCAGAACACAGCAAAAGAGAAUCGAAAAAAGAGGAUCUUGAUCCUUUUCUAAAGGAGAAUCAACCAUCUAUAUAAUGACAAUUUUAAACCCAUCAAGUACAAAAAUAACGAGCAAGGUGAAAAUAUAAACGUAACAUUGAACUAUUUUAUUAAAUGAUAAUAAACUUCAAAGGGUAAAAUUGGUUUUUAGAUAAACAUAUAAGGGGUUACUAAAAAGGGUUACAAGUUUUUUUUUUUUUUUGAAAGAAGGGAUACAAAUUAUAAGCUUGCGAAGAAAAGACGGUUAUCAAACACAGCCUAUGCAGCUCAUGAAGCUGCCAUAAAAAUUUUAAUAGUGGGGGAUAUUUAAUGAAGAUUAGUAGUAGUGUUACGUUAUUCAUGGAGCUAUAGUUAUAAAUAAUUUUAAAGUGGGUAAUGUUUAUUGAAGAUAGGGAGAUCGAAGCGGAAAUGCUGAAAAAUGAUGAUGGAAAAAUAUAAAUCGAUAUUAUCUUUUAUUUUAGUCAGAAUUUAAAUUUGGUAUUUUUCAGUAUCCAUGUCGGCGAUUUUGACUAAUUUUGAUUAAGUAAACGUCUUAGUUGACUUCAAUGACUAAAGUAACUAAGAACAAAGAGUGAAUGAUUUAAUUCGGGUUUUAUCUAAGUCAUUGACCAAAAUUACAUCUUGUUACACUUUUAAGGAGAAAAAUGGUUGUUUUCCCAAUAAUGUUUUCCAAUAUUAAAUUAAUGUUGUUUUCUGCCUUAGGGAUGUUACCAAUUUGUUAUGUUGGAGUUACCUUUAGUGCUAAGAAACCUUUAGACCAAUAAAAAUAUUUUGAGUCCCUUUUAAAGUGGUAAAUACACUAAUAUAAAGUCAUUGUCAAUUGAUGUUAGGACUAUUUAUUAAGAAUGCAAUAUUUACUUGUUGUUCUUUGGUAGACACUUAGAGUUCAUUUUUGUGGACUGUAUGAACUUGGUUAUAUCAUAGUUAACGUCGUAUUAGACAAACGGAAAUGAAAGACUCAUCUCUCACUCUACUUAGGACUAGCCAAUUGUCAAACUUGGUUACAAUUUAUUUUGUUUGGAAAACUUAAUUUGAAUUUUCUACAAGUCAUGAAAAAUUCAAAUUUCUGUUUUCUGAUUAGAAGAUCAAUAAACGGUUCAAUAUCAUCACAAUCUCCAAAUCAUAACUUCAUUCAUUUGCAAAUCUAGAGCACAUAUAUCACGAUUUUCUAUCAUGAUUUGCAUUGAUAUAAGUAAGUAUAACACAUAUAUUUUACUCUUAACUUAGCCAUACAUUGCGGAUUUACUUAGUAGAUAGAGUAAUGUUUUUUUUUAAACAACAAAUUUUAUUCAUAAGCUAACCCAACACAAGAAGUGAAGAGGCUAGAGGAAACACACAAGACAACAGAUACAUAAAGACAACUAAACCACCCAAACAAUCCUUAAUACAAUAGAAUAACAUCAGAAAAACCAGCCACCUAAACUUCCUAGUACCAUGAAACAAUGUCAGGUCGCGUUGAUUUUUAGGCUGGAGGGCAAUGUUUGUUUCGGAAGUUCUCGACUUUCUUCAACAAAGGGUAGUGCUUUUUGCAGAAAUCGGGUAUAUGGGGUAUAUGUACUGGUUUAUCUUUUGGGAUUAAAUUUUUGAUUUUUGGGAUUAAUGCUUCAACUGCGGGACCAAAGCUAACAGCAUCAGCAAAAUGUUGUUGAGGAGCAAGCAUAAAAGCAGCAAGGAAUAACACUAAUAAGGAUAAGAAAAAUGAAUUAGCCAUUUUAAGAAGUGAUAUAAUUAUUAGUGUUGGUGCAUAAUACAUAUGGAGUAUACUGGUUUUAUACUAGUUAGAGACUCAAUGUGAGUUUAUGGUCAAUCUAAGUCAUGUACUAAAUGUCAAAAUUGUGUAUGAAUUGAAUUAUUCAACAAUGUUACAUGUUCCUUCCAUGUAUUUGCUACUAGUUGAUGAUCAGUCCCUACCUAUCCUUUAAUUUUCCACACAACAAGACCAUUCAGUAAUAUUGGCUCUAUCUCUCCACUUGUUUGCCCACCAUGGUUUAGCUGAAAAAACAGUGCAACUUGUUUCAAUAACAUUAAUAUAUAUAGAUAUUACUAUUUAUAUAUGCAUUGAACCCUGUAUGAUUUAUUUAUUUAUAAAAAUUCCAAAUAGGUUACUUUAUUUGUCAUUUAUGCUUGAAUAUGAAAAUACAAAACAGUGUUUUUUCUCAUUAAAAUUUUUACUAUAAAGAUUUUUAAUAACUUAGUGUUUACCAAUUGCACUUACUAAUUCUUAAUUAUAGAAUGAUGAUUAAAAAUUGUAUGUUUCAUAACUGUUUUUCAUCACAAGUUUAUAGUUCAUUUCUCAGACGUUAUUCCAAAUAACGUUUGAGAUUAUAGGUUAUCAUUUUAAUUUCAUGUUUACCUUUAUUAUUUUGUUUAAGAUUUAUUUUUAUCCUUUUUAAUAUAUACUAUUUAUAAAGAAAAUAUAGGGAUUUUGGGCUGACUUUUUUGUUAUUCCAAUUAUACCUUUAAAUAAAAAAAAAUCAAAUAAUGUGAUAUGGUUGGUGUUAAAUAAGAAUUUUUGUUAUAUUAUUGUUGUCAUUGAGAAUCAUAAAUAUUGUUUGUUGAGUUUGUUACAUUUGAAAGUCACAUAUCAUACUUUUAAUUUUUGUCCAUAUCAAAAAAUUUAUAUAAAAUAUCGUUUGUAAUUUACACGCAGAAUUUCAAUAAAUUAUCGUAAAUAAUUUAUACACAUUAACGUAAUAAAAAGAGCAGAAAGAUGAACAUGUGAAUGCUCGUCUUUAGUAAGUAAGAUUGUCUUAUAUACUUACAUUAUUUUAGGUCUAAAUUUCAGAAACCAUUAUUUGACAAUAUUUUUGACAAUUUUAUCUCACAUACUCACAUUAUAUUUUUACUUCUCUUUUUGUUGUUUUGGUUUUUAUUUUCAUACCUAAUUUUCCUUGUAAAUCUAUAGUUGUCUCAUAAAUUAUCGUUAAAAUUGUUGUUCAAAUAACACAACUCUUAUUUCUAAUACUCAAAAUUUGUUCAAAUUAAGUUUUUAAAGAACUUCUAAUAAAGUCAGAUUAAGGUUUUUUUGAACUUUUUAAAUACUUAAAUUGAAUUUUCUCCAAUAUACAUAUUAGAGAAAGAAAAAAAAUAAUGAUAGGAGGGAGAUGCAAAACUUAUGUUUUCUUUCUCUAGAAACAUAUUUUGAGUUUUCAAUAUCAUCAAAAUCUCAAAAUCAUAAACUUUAUUUAUUUGCAAAUCUAGAGCACAUAUAGCGCGAUUUUCUUUCAUAAUUUACAUUGAUAUAACACAUAUUAUGUUCUUACCUUGCCCAAACAUUCGGGAUUUAAUUGAUGAUGUAAAAGACGUUUUUAAAUGUAGAAUAAGAAAGAUGGAAAACCUCCAAGCCAAAUUAUACACAAGAUAUACAAAUUAUACACAAAAAUUUCAAAUUUCAAUUUUCUCGAGAGUAUUCUUAAAUGAUCAAUCAAUGAUUCAAUAUAAUCACAAUCUCAAAAUCAUAAACUUUAUUUAUUUUCAAAUCUAGAGCACAUAUAGCGGGAGGAGAUUGUCUCGUGUGAUUUUUCUCUCAUGUGUAAUCCAGACCCUCCAUUAAAUAUGUGAGAUAAUGUGUUUGUAAUAUAAAAUGACCGAACGCAAGAUAAAUUGUUUUUUUCUAAACAAUAAAUUUUAUUCAUAAGCAUUCCCGUGAGCUUAGCUCAGUUGGUACGGAUAUUGCAUUUUAUAUGCAGUGGCUGAG
rnacentral:lncRNA from 1 species